UAUAUUAAAGUUGUUGCAGUUAAAACGCUCGUAGUCGGACCUCGGAGCGCGCCCACAGGCCGGGCUUUUGCCCUUGUGCCAGUGGGAGUAUGUCUCCUUUUGUCGGGACGCGGUGUGUGGGGCCUUGACUGGUUCUGCGCGUUUUACCUGCGGGCCGACCGUUUACUGUGAAGAAAGUAAAGUGUUCAAAGCAGGCCAUUGCCUUGAAUAUGUGAGCAUGGAAUAAUAGAAUAGGACUUGGGCUCUAUUUUGUUGGUUUCCAGUGACCAAGUAAUGAUUAAUAGGGAUAGUUGGGGGCAUUCGUAUUUCAUCGUCAGAGGUGAAAUUCUUGGAUUGAUGGAAGACGUACAACUGCGAAAGCAUCUGCCAUGGAUGUUUUCAUUGAUCAAGAACGAAAGUUAGGGGAUCGAAGACGAUCAGAUACCGUCGUAGUCUUAACCAUAAACGAUGCCGACUGGGGAUUGGCGGGGCUUCUAAAUUACGUCCGCGUCAGCACCCUGAGGGAAACCAAAGUAUUUGGGUUCUGGGGGGAGUAU
rnacentral:rRNA from 2 species